UACGUAGGGUGCGAGCGUUAAUCGGAAUUACUGGGCGUAAAGCGUGCGCAGGCGGUUGGUUAAGUCUGAUGGUGAAAGCCCCGGGCUCAACCUGGGAAUGGCAUUGGAAACUGGCGAGCUUGAGUGUGGCAGAGGGGGGUGGAAUUCCGCGUGUAGCAGUGAAAUGCGUAGAGAUGCGGAGGAACACCGAUGGCGAAGGCAGCCCCCUGGGCUGACACUGACGCUCAGGCACGAAAGCGUGGGGAGCAAACAGG
rnacentral:rRNA from 1 species